UCCGGUUUGUCACCGGCAGUCUCCCUAGAGUGCCCUUGCGUAGCAACUAGGGACAAGGGUUGCGCUCGUUGCGGGACUUAACCCAACAUCUCACGACACGAGCUGACGACAGCCAUGCAGCACCUGUGUUACGGCUCCCUUUCGGGCACACCCAGCUCUCGCUGGGCUUCCGUACAUGUCAAGGGUAGGUAAGGUGGGGAUGACGUCACACAGACUAUAC
rnacentral:misc_RNA from 1 species